AGUCAAUUCAUGUUCCUUAAAAAUGGAGAAUUAUUUCUCGAGAUAAAGAUACAGCGUUUAAACAAGGAAAACUCGUGAAAAGUUGCAGUUUAGUUUACUCGUUUGUUUUUUUUCCAUAAAUAUUAAGGUAGUAAGCACAGAGCCAAUGCCGUAUUUAAAUUUACUGAGACACGCAGUGACUCGUGACGAAUCAGCAUUCGGGAGGGAGAUUGAAGUUGAAGAUCUGGCUCAGUGUUGCCCCAGCAGCAACCUCUUACUCAGAGUCAGCAAGACCAAAGUGCUGAAUAUUGACUUCAACGGGGGAAAUCGGGGAUCCCUGAGCCAGUCCUCAUCGGGGGAAUCAGAGGCGGAGAGGGUCAGCAACUUUAAAUUCCCUCGGUGCCACCAUUUCGGAGGAUCUGACCUGGGCCCAGCACGAGUGCCAUUACAAAGAAAGCACGGCAGCGCCUCUUGCUUUCUUAGAAUCUAAGCUUGCGAAGAUUCAGCAUCUCAUCUAAAGCUUUGACAAACUUCUCUAGAUGCGCAGUGGGGAGAAAAUUGGCAGAUCCUGGAAAUACAAGCAACACACACAAAAUACUAAAGGAACUACUUCCCAUUUCGACGUCAGUCCAUGGCUUCUUCUGCUACUGUGAUGAGGCCACACUCAGGUUGGAGGAGCAACACAUUUUCAGUCUGGGUAGCCAGCAUCCUGAUGGCAUGGACAUUGAUUUCUCCAGCUUCCAAUACUGCCUGGCCUGUUGAGUUCCUCCAGCAUUUUGUGUGUGUUGCAGCGGGGAGUAUAUUGACUGGCCGCAUCACAGCCUGGAAUGGAAAUGCCAAUGCUCUUGAAUGGAAAAGCCUACACAGAGUCCAUCAUGGGUAAAGCCCUCCCCACCAUUGAGUACAUCUAUGUGGAGUUCUGUCACAAGAAAGUGCAUCCACCAUCAAGCACCAUCUUCAGACCAUGCUCACUUCUCACAGUUGCUAUUAGGAAGCAGGUGCAGGAGCCUCAAGACCCACACGAUCAGGUUCAGUUAUUAUGCCUCAAGCAUCAGGCUCUUGAACCAAAGAGGAUAACUUCACUCACCCCUUCACUGAACUGUUCCCACAACCUAUGGACUCACUUUCAAUGACUCUUCAUCUCAUUUUCUUGACAUUUAUUGCUUAGAUACUAUUUGAUUUUUUAAUUUGUUUUUUGUAUUUACUGUAAUGCUCUUAAGAAAAUGAAUCUCAGGGUUGUACUUUGAUAAUAAAUUUGCCUUGAACUUUGA